GCCCCGGUGGCGAAAUCGGUAGACGCAGGGGACUUUCAAUCCCCCGAUGCACCACAUCAUGUCGGUUCGAAUCCGACCCGGGGCA
rnacentral:tRNA from 1 species